rnacentral:lncRNA from 1 species
CACUGCCCCCUUGCACACUCCCCUGAGGGCUUCCAGGCUCCUGUCCCCUUCUACACCUGCCCAGGGGCAUCCCAGCUCCUGCCCCCUUGCACACUCCCCUGUGGACAUCCAGGUUCCUGCCCCCUUGCACACCCCCAUGGGCAUCCACGCUUCUGCCCCCUUGCACAGACCUCCCCCCCGCCCCUUAGGCUUUCAGGCUUCUUGUCCCUUGGCACACACCGCCUCCUACGCCCCUUGCACUCUCUCCCUUCUCUCCCCAUCCCCUUGCACGCGCCUCCCCUCUUAUUACCUUCCUCUCCCAGGGGCGCAGCCCCCAAACACAAAGCAAAAGUGGUGCCAGGCUGGGCCCGGCGGGGCAGGAGCCGGGGGCUGACGUCAGGGCCCCAAAUCCGUGCCUUUGGCUGCAGGCAGAUUUGUCCUUUUACGUGCGAGAAAACCAGUCCACAAGAAGCGGAGGCGAGCGGCCGUUUUCAGCUGGAUCGAGCGUGACCCCCGGCAGACCAAGCCUGGCGUGUUCACAGCUGGACGGGGCAGCAUUUGCACCAGGGAGCGAGAAGGGUUGCGGUGCCGAAGGCAGCUCUGCCAAACCUCGCUCAUUUGGAAGGAGAUGCUUGGACGGCUUCUCAAGCACUUUGUGAGUGCCUCGCCCUGGCGAUGAAGGAUUUUGCUCUGCACUUUCAGGAGACGUUUCAAAUCUCACUCAUCGCUUCCUGAAAUCCCCCUCCUUCAAACAGCGGGGUUUGACAGCCCGCGGAGGAUAAGUUGGCCUGCUAAAUUGCAACGCCUGCGUGGGUUAGGGGCGCGGAGACGCAGCGCAGCCUGCCCGCGUGGAUCGUAUUGCCGGAUCAGGGCCAGAGCCCGGGAACAUUUGGUGGGUUUUGGAGCGUGGAGAUUUCAGAUGGAUGCAGGCCCUCAAAUUUAGCAGGCAGAGGCAGAGCAAGAGCCGACUGCUGGAAGCCGAAGCUAGGGAAAUGCAAACUGGAAACACUGGGCAAGUUUCUAACGGUAAAAGGAAGUCACACUUGGAAGACGGCUUACUCGAGGCACGUGAUGGCAAAUCUUCCAGUCAGGCCUUUGAAUCAAGGUUGCACCACUGCCCAAAAGAUGCACGUCCGCUCAGCUGAACGCCCCGGACUCUGUGCAAGAAACAGGUCAAAUCCUGCUGCUCAUAUCGUGCCG